rnacentral:rRNA from 1 species
AUGGCAGCUGAAGGAGACCUGAAGUUGCUAGGCUUGUCGGUGAGCCCAUUUGUAGUUCGUGUUCGCAUGGCGCUCCACAUGAAGGGCUUGAGCUACGAGUAUAUCAAACAGGACCUCUUCAACAAGAGUGAGCUUCUCCUCAAGUCCAACCCGGUGGAGAAGAAGGUACCCGUACUCAUCCACAAUGGCAAGACCAUACUCGAUUCGUCCGCCAUCGUGCAGUACAUCGACGAAGUCUGGGCCGCCAUGGGGCCGUCGAUCCUCCCUGUCGACCCCUACGAGCGCGCCACCGCCCGCUUCUGGGCCGCCUACGUCGACGACAAGCUAUUCUCUGCUUAUGUCGGUGUUAAUAGAGCUACCACGGAGGUGGAGAGGGCGGAGAAGGUUAACGAGACGCUUGUGGUGGUCGAGCAACUUGAGGAGGCAUUUGCCAAGCACUCGAACGGAAAGGCCUUCUUUGCCGGGGACUCCAUCGGGUACCUCGACCUCGCGGUCGGAUGCCACUUGCUCUGGCUCAAGGCGCAACGCAAGAUGUUUGACGUGGUGUUCCUGGACGCCGGCAAGACUCCACUCUUAGCGGCUUGGGCGAAACGGUUCGCUAAGACCGACGCGGCGAAGGAGGUGGUACCCGACACAGACGCGGUGAUGGAGUACGCCAAGAAGCGCUAG